GGUCCAGUAGCUCAGUGGAAAAGAGCAACUGCCUUCUAAGCAGUCGGUCGUAGGUUCGAGUCCUACCUGGAUCG
rnacentral:tRNA from 1 species